UACGGAGGAUGCGAGCGUUAUCCGGAUUUAUUGGGUUUAAAGGGUGCGUAGGCGGAAUAUCAAGUCAGCGGUAAAAAUUCGGGGCUCAACCCCGUCGUGCCGUUGAAACUGAUGUUCUUGAGUGGGCGAGAAGUAUGCGGAAUGCGUGGUGUAGCGGUGAAAUGCAUAGAUAUCACGCAGAACUCCGAUCGCGAAGGCAGCAUACCGGCGCCCAACUGACGCUGAAGCACGAAAGCGUGGGUAUCGAACAGG
rnacentral:rRNA from 1 species